rnacentral:rRNA from 1 species
UACGGGGGGGGCAAGCGUUGUUCGGAAUUACUGGGCGUAAAGGGCUCGUAGGCGGCCAACUAAGUCAGACGUGAAAUCCCCAGGCUUAACCUGGGAACUGCGUCUGAUACUGGAUGGCUUGAAUCCGGGAGAGGGAUGCAGAAUUCCAGGUGUAGCGGUGAAAUGCGCAGAUAUCAGGAGGAACACCGGUGGCGAAGGCGGGUCUCUGGGCAACAACUGACGCUGAGGAGCGAAAGCGUGGGGAGCGAACAGG